rnacentral:rRNA from 1 species
CCGAUGCUGGAAUGCCCGGUAUCCCAAAGCUCCGGCGCCUUAGGAUGGAUCUGCGGCCGAUUAGGUCGUUGUUGGGGUAACGGCCCAACAAGCCGAUAAUCGGUACGGGUUGUGGGAGCAAGAGCCCGGAGUUGGAUUCUGAGACACGAAUCCAGGCCCUACGGGGCGCAGCAGGCGCGAAAACUUUACAAUGCGGGCAACCGUGAUAAGGGAACCUCGAGUGCCUGUACAUGCAGGCUGUCUGGGUGUCUAAAACACACCCAAAGAAAGGGCCGGGCAAGACCGGUGCCAGCCGCCGCGGUAAUACCGGCGGCUCGAGUGGUGGCCACUUUUAUUGGGCUUAAAGCGUUCGUAGCUGGGUUGUUAAGUCUCUUGGGAAAUCUGGCAGCUUAACUGUCAGGCGUCUAAGAGAUACUGGCAAUCUAGGAACCGGGAGAGGUGAGGGGUACUUCGGGGGUAGGAGUGAAAUCCUGUAAUCCUCGAGGGACCACCUGUGGCGAAGGCGCCUCACCAGAACGGCUUCGACAGUGAGGGACGAAAGCUGGGGGAGCAAACCGGAUUAGAUACCCGGGUAGUCCCAGCCGUAAACGAUGCGCGUUAGGUGUGUCGAUGACCACGAGUCAUCGAGGUGCCGAAGGGAAACCGUGAAACGCGCCGCCUGGGAAGUACGGUCGCAAGGCUGAAACUUAAAGGAAUUGGCGGGGGGAGCACCACAACAGGGUGGAGCCUGCGGGUUUAAUUGGACUCAACGCCCGGGAAGC